rnacentral:rRNA from 1 species
GCGGCGUGCUUAACACAUGCAAGUCGAACGGAAAGGCCCUUGGGGGUACUCGAGUGGCGAACGGGUGAGUAACACGUGAGUAACCUGCCCUUGACUUCGGGAUAACUUCAGGAAACUGGGGCUAAUACCGGAUAGGAAUCCUUGCUGCAUGGUGGGGGUUGGAAAGCUUCGGCGGUUUUGGAUGGACUCGCGGCUUAUCAGCUUGUUGGUGGGGUAGUGGCUUACCAAGGCUUUGACGGGUAGCCGGCCUGAGAGGGCGACCGGCCACAUUGGGACUGAGAUACGGCCCAGACUCCUACGGGAGGCAGCAGUGGGGAAUAUUGCACAAUGGGCGGAAGCCUGAUGCAGCAACGCCGCGUGCGGGAUGACGGCCUUCGGGUUGUAAACCGCUUUCAGCAGGGGCGAACUUGUGGUGACGGUACCUGCAGAAGAAGCACCGGCUAACUACGUGCC